rnacentral:rRNA from 1 species
UCCAGACUCCUACGGGAGGCAGCAGUGGGGAAUAUUGGGCAAUGGGCGAAAGCCUGACCCAGCAACGCCGCGUGAAGGAAGAAGGCUUUCGGGUUGUAAACUUCUUUUGACAGGGAAGAGCAGAAGACGGUACCUGUCGAAUAAGCCACGGCUAACUACGUGCCAGCAGCCGCGAUAAUACGUAGGUGGCAAGCGUUAUCCGGAUUUACUGGGUGUAAAGGGAGCGUAGACGGCGGUGCAAGCCAGAUGUGAAAGCCCGGGGCUCAACCCCGGGACUGCUCUUGGAACUGCGCGGCUGGAGUGCAGGAGGGGCAGGCGGAAUUCCUAGUGUAGCGGUGAAAUGCGUAGAUAUUAGGAGGAACACCGGCGGCGAAGGCGGCCUGCUGGACCGUAACUGACGUUGAGGCUCGAAAGCGUGGGGAGCAAACAGGAUUAGAUACCCCUGUAU